GACGAACGCUGGCGGCGUGCUUAACACAUGCAAGUCGAACGGAAAGGCCCUGCUUUUGUGGGGUGCUCGAGUGGCGAACGGGUGAGUCACACGUGAGUAACCUGCCCUUGACUUUGGGAUAACUUCAGGAAACUGGGGCUAAUACCGGAUAGGAGCUCCUGCUGCAUGGUGGGGGUUGGAAAGUUUCGGCGGUUGGGGAUGGACUCGCGGAUUAUCAGCUUGUUGGUGGGGUAGUGGCUUACCAAGGCUUUGACGGGUAGCCGGCCGGAGAGGGUGACCGGCCACAUUGGGACUGAGAUACGGCCCAGACUCCUACGGGAGGCAGCAGUGGGGAAUAUUGCACAAUGGGCGGAAGCCUGAUGCAGCAACGCCGCGUGCGGGAUGACGGCCUUCGGUUUGUAAACCGCUUCCGCCGGUGACGAAGCGUGAGUGAUGGUAAUGGGUAAAGAAGCACGGGGGAACUACGUG
rnacentral:rRNA from 1 species